CAGUAGCCGCGGGAAAACGGAGGGUGCAAGCGUUAAUCGGAAUCACUGGGCGUAAAGCGCACGCAGGCGGUUUGUUAAGUCAGAUGUGAAAUCCCCGUGCUUAACUUGGGAACUGCAUUUGAAACUGGCAAGCUAGAGUCUUGUAGAGGGGGGUAGAAUUCCAGGUGUAGCGGUGAAAUGCGUAGAGAUCUGGAGGAAUACCGGUGGCGAAGGCGGCCCCCUGGACAAAGACUGACGCUCAGGCGCGAAAGCGUGGGGAGCAAACAGGAUUAGAUACCCCUGUAGUCCCUGUCUCUUAUAC
rnacentral:rRNA from 1 species